rfam:Nocardiopsis sp. CNR-923 NODE_55_length_28810_cov_156.375_ID_105, whole genome shotgun sequence.
CAGCGGGUGGAAGUCCCGUCCGGGUAAGCGCCGGAGCGCCCGGUAGCAGGCCCCAGCCGUGCGGGGAGACCCGCCCGGCCGAGCGGGGUGUCACAAGCCUCUUCGGAGGGAGCAAGAACGCGGGCCGUAGCAUCA